GAAGAAGCUAUUCCUGAAUCGUUGAGUGAGACAUCACACCCCCAUGUAAGAAAGCCUAAAAGAUCUUUGGGCACUAAUCUGGAAAAUAGAAAAUCUCUCUCCCCUGUUGCAGAUUGCCACCUAGCCUUUCUCCGCUACAGUUACUGUUGGAGCCAGUGAUCCAUUGUUCAGCAGCUGGAAUCUACAUUAUGGUGGUGUGUUUUCAGGCCAGUUGAGAGAUCUGCUGCUUUGUUGUCUCUGAGGAUUUUCCAUGAGGCUUCGAGUGAAGUGUGUGGCCUCAAGGCCAAGAAGCCUGGAGACGGGGCGUGAGGCCACAAUCGACUUCACUUCUUGCCCAUCUUGCUGAUUAAAGCUCCGAGGAAGAUUGGAGUCAUCGUGGCGGGUACGGAGGGUGAGCAGGUGUUCAGUGCUGUCUACCAGCCUCUCGUAUGCUGCUGCCAGAGUAAGGUGCCUACAUGUGAUGGUCUCACUGCUCCUGAGGGAAGGACUUUGCGUUCGAAUGAUCCCUCUCCCCCUCGAUGCUGUCGAAGGAUGGUGCCAGAGCAAAAUGUAAUCGACACAGUUUGUAAAUUUGGUCCCUAGUUCACGUUAUGAUAUGUUUCUAGUUUCUGGGCACUGAUUUUUAUCAUUGCUAUUUUAGGUGAUUUUGAAUCGUGGUGGUCUGCAGAUAAUGAACACAGCUGAGCACUGGGAUAUUUCGAUUUUGUGUUUUAUAUUCUGUGUUUUUUGGUUGCUUUUUGCAUGAUUUGCUUUUUUUUAGC